GACGAACGCUGGCGGCGUGCUUAACACAUGCAAGUCGAACGGAAAGACCCUGCUUUUGUGGGGUGCUCGAGUGGCGAACGGGUGAGUAACACGUGAGUAACCUGCCCUUGACUUUGGGAUAACUUCAGGAAACUUGGGCUAAUACCGGAUAGGAGCUCCUGCUGCAUGGUGGGGGUUGGAAAGUUUCGGCGGUUGGGGAUGGACUCGCGGCUUAUCAGCUUGUGGGUGGGGUAGUGGCUUACCAAGGCUUUGACGGGUAGCCGGCCUGAGAGGGUGACCGGCGACAUGGGGACUGAGAUACGGACCAGACUCCUACGGGAGGCAGCAGUGGGGAAUAUUGCACAAUGGGGGGAAGCCUGAUGCAGCAACGCCGCGUGCGGGAUGACGGCCUUCGGGUUGUAAACCGCUUUCGCCUGUGACGAAGCGUGAGUGACGGUAAUGGGUAAAGAAGCACCGGCUAACUACGUG
rnacentral:rRNA from 1 species